CGCGGAUUUUACCUGUCCACUCCCCCUCACCUAAUUGGUCCACUAGCACUUUAAAUAGUAGCAUAUUAUGCUCCUAUCUAGAUCUUCAUUGUUUUCCCUUGAAAAAGCCUGGUCGAAACGCGUUGGGCUAUAUUACCUGGACAACAUAUGCACACAUACGCAUAUUUGCCAGUUGUACAGCGAAGUCAACCGUUGUCCACACUGGAUUUCACCCUGAGGGCUAUACGCUGGGAGAGCGUAAGGGUGUUUUUCAAACUGAUCCGGAGAGGGCUUUUUGCGGCUCGCCUGCACAGUGGUCCAAUUUACAUGCUGUUUUUAAUCUGUGAUUUUGAGGCUGUCGCUGCAUUUAUUCAUCAUCUUACAGACGUAUGGAUCAUUACGAAAUAUUAGCAGGAUGUUGACAAAUAAACAUCUGUGCCCAAAGAGGCCAAUGGAUGAGGAAAAGUGACCAAUCAUUUUAAUAAACAAACAGUCCUCGUCGCUGCAGCCUUCAGAGUACUGUGUGUAACAGAAGAGAGGAAGUGGAACAAAUCACAAGGCUCCAGCUGGAAGGGGUGCAAGCUGCAAUGGCCAAACGGCCAAAAUUGAAAAUCCAAAUCAAAAAGGGUAUGCAGCCGCAC